UACGUAGGGGGCGAGCGUUGUCCGGAUUUACUGGGUGUAAAGGGCGUGUAGCCGGGCUGACAAGUCAGAUGUGAAAUUCCGGGGCUCAACCCCGGACCUGCAUUUGAAACUGUUGGUCUUGAGUAUCGGAGAGGCAGGCGGAAUUCCUAGUGUAGCGGUGAAAUGCGUAGAUAUUAGGAGGAACACCAGUGGCGAAGGCGGCCUGCUGGACGACAACUGACGGUGAGGCGCGAAAGCGUGGGGAGCAAACAGG
rnacentral:rRNA from 1 species